AUGCAAGUCGAGCGGUAGAAUUAUUAUUGAAUCUUCGGAUGAUUUAAUAAUUUGAGAGCGGCGAACGGGUGAGUAACACGUUGGUAUCUGCCCCCAAGUCAGGGAUAGCCAUUGGAAACGAUGAUUAAUACCGGAUAGUCUCUUCGGAGUAAAGAUUUAUUGCUUGGGGAGGAACCUGCGUUCUAUCAGCUAGUUGGUGAGGUAAAAGCUCACCAAGGCUAUGACGGAUACCUGGUCUGAGAGGAUGAUCAGGCACAAUGGAACUGAGACACGGUCCAUACUCCUACGGGAGGCAGCAGUGAGGAAUCUUCCACAAUGGGCGAAAGCCUGAUGGAGCGACACCGCGUGAAGGAUGAAGGCCUAACGGUUGUAAACUUCUUUUCUGAAGGAGCAUAAUGAGAGUACUUCAGGAAUAAGGGACGGCUAAAUACGUGCCAGCAGCCGCGGUAAUACGUAUGUCUCGAGCGUUACCCGGAAUCACUGGGUGUAAAGGGUUUGUANGCGGCUUGUUAAGUUGGAUAUGAAAGA
rnacentral:rRNA from 1 species